CAUUUAUUCAGACAAGUUUAUCGAUCUAUACAUAUAAUACAUGCUUAUUUAUCGUAAUAUUACGCCUUAUAUUGGAGUUUGAAGCCAUUAGAUCUAACGCAGUUCACCAAACGGUCGAACAAAGAUAAAAGAUGGAAUAAUCGUAUUAUCACCCUGUAUAUAACCCCUUUGAUUGUAUUUCUACCCUAGAAAAACUAGAAAGCAUCCAGUUUCAACGCGUACCUAACUCCCAGCCUCCCCGAUUGGAAAUCGAAGCUCCACCCGCGUCCAAUCGUCUCUCGCGUCGCGGAACGAAAUGGGGAAUCCCUCAUUCGACGAGGAUUCUCUUCAGUUUGGUGGGAAAUUGAACAACAAACACACGCCGCCGAGCGAAACUAGUUCUUACCGAGACGUUGCGUAAACACAAUCGAUCGACAAUGAGCGUUAACUCGAACCGCGAGCUAGGCACGGAUCCGACACGAGGAAUAACACGGGACAGACAACAACAAACCAGUCGGCAGGUAGUUGCCCGACUGGGUACCGGAUCCAGGCGAUAUUUUUCUGCACGUCCCCGCGGCGCUGCUUCUCGACCAGGCUCCGAAGGUGAAGGCGAUGGAAGCGGUCCCGCGCGUGUUUACGAGCUGGAAACGACUUGCCAAGCAUCCGCGAGAAAAGGGCGGACGAGGCCGCGACAGAGAUCCGGGAUUCCUGGAAAUUACCACCUUCGGGGCCUCUCUCCCGCCAUUGCUCGCCAACCAGAAUUUCGGCUUGCGCCAUGCCGUGGACCGGUUUAACAAGCUUCGAUUCGGAUAAGCGAAACGGCCGAUGCCUUUGAUCUUUUUUGGGUCUGAAUUUCGACGACCUUGACUUGCUUACGAGUGCGCUCGCCCACUCGCGGAACUCGAUGGAUCCCGAUCGACGCCUCCGCGGCGUCCAAUCCGGAUCCAUUUCGGCAACACUGGAUCCUGACGGGUUUCGGAUCGUUCGGGAAAGUGGUCUCUUCGAUCUUAAAUUUCGCCGACCUUGAAUCGUUCCACCCUCGUCUGGCAGAUGCAGGAUCGCUUCGAACCGGCUGCGAUCAUUCUCGUGAAAGAAUAUGGUCGAUCGAGAAGUUGUAAACGAAGCUCGAGACGCAGGGCUCCACCGAGCAGCGAUUAUCGGGCAGACGACGAGAAAACGACAUAAACUCGGUGCACAGCGUCCCGGAGGCGACUCGUCGAUCCGCGGAGGACGUUGGAGCGUUGUAACGGCUGCGGUAAAUUUCACGGGCGCACCAGGAUACGCCGAUCCUGUUUGCGCGUUCCACGCACGCUUUGAGGAAAAUAUUCCCCUUCGUCGUGGCUCGCAAGACGACGUAACCUGUUGCUGGACUCUGAGAGGGAGUGCAGUUUACGUCCAUCCGCCUCGUAAAACGUAAUGGUUAAGUGGCGGCCAGAUACGAUCAGCGCGGGCUACAGAAUGGACAGGCAAACGAUGCACCGUAUAAAGGACCCGAAACGACCAGCUCUGAGCACGGCGUAUGAAAACUGCAUAGGCUGAAUCCGUUUUCCCGGUCUUGUCGCUGCGCCUAAUGACGCGGACGAAGAGGAAAGUGGCCCCGAACGACUGGCACCAAGGAGCCUGCGUCGCGGGGAAGAUCUAGAAACCUUCCUCCUUCGAAAGCUAGCAGGUCGGCCUGCCGAAGGUGCAACAAAAAGGAGAGUCCUUGGAGGGAAAGGUGGGAUAGAAGAAAGAAACGAAAGAAAGAACAACCGUCGACGGUGAUCGCGCGGAUUUGCGGGCGCAAACAUUCACCAGGUCGAGCAGGGAGGAAGGCACACCUGGUGGGGAGAGCCUUCUGAUUACGAAGGGGACUCUCGUCCUGACUCCUGGUUACAAGGAGACGAGGAGAGGGGUACGAAGGAUUGCGCAACAAUGCGCUGCCACCUGCACUCGUUUCGUCACACAGCUUCAACUGGCUCGACGGUGGUUGGCCGGCUCGCAUUACUUUCGCCAAUUAAGCCUGCGGACGGUCGUUGUUGUUCAACUUGAAUAUGAAAUUCCACGAUUAUGCCGAAUUCCAGUACAAUGAAUGCAUCGACCGCCGGUGACCAUCCUGAGAAAAUUUGAUCAGGACCUGGCACACUCCUGGCGCAUCGACUACAAAGAUGAACUUCCAAGGAACGUCACCUAAUUUUUAAGAAAUUUCGAAUUGACACGUUUAAGAAUAUUAGAUACCUGCUCCUUUUAUUAACUGAUCCUCGUACGUGGAGACUGAUGUUGUUUAUCUAUUAUUCGUUAUACGUUGUAAGUACACUGCAGGCUUUUAUGCAUUUAUAAGAAAUUCGAAUGUGCGAGAAAGUACAAAAUGCACACGGUAUACGAGAAUAUAAAGAAAUAUUGAAUUUAUGCAUUUAUAAGGAAUUUGAAUG